rnacentral:rRNA from 1 species
GGCUCCUUCGGGAGUAUUCGAGCGGCGAACGGGUGAGUAACACGUGAGCAAUCUGCCCUUCUCUUCGGAAUAACCAUUGGAAACGAUGGCUAAUGCCGAAUACGACCUCCCUUCGCAUGUUGGGAGGUGGAAAGCUCCGGCGGAGAAGGAUGAGCUCGCGGCCUAUCAGCUUGUUGGCGGGGUAACGGCCCACCAAGGCAACGACGGGUAGCCGGCCUGAGAGGGUGACCGGCCACACUGGGACUGAGACACGGCCCAGACUCCUACGGGAGGCAGCAGUGGGGAAUAUUGGACAAUGGGCGAAAGCCUGAUCCAGCAACGCCGCGUGAGGGAUGACGGCCUUCGGGUUGUAAACCUCUUUCAGCAGGGACGAAGCGAAAGUGACGGUACCUGCAGAAGAAGGACCGGCCAACUACGUGCCAGCAGCCGCGGUAAUACGUAGGGUCCGAGCGUUGUCCGGAAUUAUUGGGCGUAAAGGGCUCGUAGGCGGUUUGUCGCGUCGGGAGUGAAAACUCAGGGCUUAACCCUGAGCGUGCUUCCGAUACGGGCAGACUAGAGGUAUGCAGGGGAGAACGGAAUUCCUGGUGUAGCGGUGGAAUGCGCAGAUAUCAGGAGGAACACC